GGGGGUCUUACUUUGCAGCAGCCCUGUGCUUUUCUCUGAGCCCAAACUCUCUUUGUUUUUUGCACAGAAGCUGCGUUUUCCACCCCAGCGCCCUGCUGCCCUAGGCAGGCAGCUGGUGCUCAGCUUGUGGCAAGGGGACCUUGAGGCUGGUGGUGGGGGUGACCCUGAUGGGUGGCACUCCUGGUCCCCAGUCACAUCAGGACUUUUAUUUCUUUUUGAGGCACUGCUGGAAGCAGGCAGAUUGUUCCUGUGUACCCCCAGCAACCUGUGGACGGGGUGGAGAAGUGUCCCUACGCAAUGUCCCUUGGGGCAGUGCCACCGGUGUGGAAUGGGACUGGUGGCAGAGCCUUGGUGCCACUGAAAGAAGUGGCUGCAGAGGUGGGAUUUUAACAGCACUUAACAUCUCCACCCCCAGCUGGAGAAGAGAAGCGCAUCCACCUCGGCAGCUUUAUCCUUGACCCAAGAGUACCAAGUACCAACGCUACCAAGAGCACCACAACCAAAACACAUCUCCUGUCCCACCUGAUGCCAGCACCACCCCCCGAAGCCCCCGGUGUGCCCGCUGACCUGCUGUGGUGGUGUC